UUUAAAAUUGGCUAUUAUUUUUAUUUAUGCGCACUUGGUAUUUGAAAUGAGUCGUUUCAUUUGUCUGAUUGUUAUUUUAAUAGCAAAAAGCUACCAAACAGAAUACAGUACUUUCGAUGUAGAAACUCCCAUUCACUUUGAGACAGAAGUCAAGGACAGCCAAGGUAUGCUUGCUAUAGACAAGUAUAAAGCCAAUCAAUUAAAACAAAGUGAUAGCUAUUCAGAUGAGCACGAGCCACGUGACAAAACAUUUCGUAGAAUCGAAUCAGACGUGAUAAAGUAUUUACGACGCCAACAACGUCGCAACAAAGUGGGUAAAAAAACACAAGGUAACAUAAAUAACAAAAAACUGUUGAUGUUAUUUCCUGGUAAACGACUAAGCCAUAAAAAUAUAGUUGAAAAAGAAGAAUUUAUGGACCUGAACGAAUUGUUACAACACACCCAGCGUUUCAUCUUUUGAAUCAACUACAAUUAAACAUUAUCUGAAAGCUA